rnacentral:rRNA from 1 species
GAUGAACGCUGGCGGCGUGCUUAACACAUGCAAGUCGAACGAAACACCUUAUUUGAUUUUCUUCGGAACUGAAGAUUUGGUGAUUGAGUGGCGGACGGGUGAGUAACGCGUGGGUAACCUGCCCUGUACAGGGGGAUAACAGUCAGAAAUGACUGCUAAUACCGCAUAAGACCACAGCACCGCAUGGUGCAGUGGUAAAAACUCCGGUGGUACAGGAUGGACCCGCGUCUGAUUAGCUGGUUGGUGAGGUAACGGCUCACCAAGGCGACGAUCAGUAGCCGGCUUGAGAGAGUGAACGGCCACAUUGGGACUGAGACACGGCCCAAACUCCUACGGGAGGCAGCAGUGGGGAAUAUUGCACAAUGGGGGAAACCCUGAUGCAGCGACGCCGCGUGAGUGAAGAAGUAUUUCGGUAUGUAAAGCUCUAUCAGCAGGGAAGAAAAUGACGGUACCUGACUAAGAAGCCCCGGCUAACUACGUG